rnacentral:rRNA from 1 species
AUACGUAGGUGACAAGCGUUAUCCGGAUUUACUGGGCGUAAAGGGCGUGUAGGCGGUCUUGCAAGUCAGAAGUGAAAUUCCUGAGCUCAACUCGGGCGCUGCUUCUGAAACUGCAGGACUUGAGUGCUGGAGGGGAUAGCGGAAUUCCUAGUGGAGCGGUAAAAUGCGCAGAUAUUAGGAAGAACACCGGUGGCGAAGGCGGCUAUCUGGACAGUAACUGACGCUGAGGCGCGAAAGUGUGGGGAGCAAACAGGAUUAGAUACCCUGGUAGUCCACACUGUAAACGAUGAAUGCUAGGUGUAGGGGGUAUCGACCCCUUCUGUGCCGCAGUCAACACAAUAAGCAUUCCGCCUGGGGAGUACGGCCGCAAGGUUGAAACUCAAAUGAAUUGGCGGGG